rnacentral:RNase_P_RNA from 2 species
GCGGAUGGCUGGAUGGUCGCGGGGUAACCCGAGGAAAGUCCGGACUCCAAAAAGCACGGUGCCGGGUAACGCCCGGCGGGGGUAACCCUAGGGAAAGCGCCACAGAAAACAGACUACCUUGGUCGCACCGACGGUGCGCAUUCGUCAAAGCCAAGGAAAAGGUGAAACGGUGGAGUAAGAGCCCACCGCGGGACGGGCAACCGGACCGGCACGGCAAGCCCCACCGGGAGCAAUGCCAAAUAGGGACCCCGCGCCGUUCGCGGCUGGGCGGCUUGAGCCCAAGGAGGUCCGGGUUGGCAGCUAGAGGGCAUCUGGUAACAGGUGCUCAAGAUGAAUGAUCAUCCAUUCGGGGCAACCCGAAGGACAAAAUCCGGCUUAUAGGCCGUCCGCGCUU